rnacentral:lncRNA from 1 species
GGGUGGUUGACGUCUGGACGGUUACUCUCCGCGGCAUAAGUAAGGCAAUAGAUCGUUGUACGUGCGGUUCCUUGACGGUAGAAUCCCGGCGAGUUUAGCGUCGGAGGUGGAGUGGAGUUGUUCGGGAACACGAAACAUAACCGUCGUGGUCGCCGGAGAAGAGGAAGAGAAGGAAAAAAAAGACCAAAAAAAACAAAAAAAAACUGCCAGUUAUUCUAUAAAAAAAAUUUUUAAUUUUUACUUCCGUCGACUAAGAUCUUAGGAGACAGAAUAUUCCGUCGGCUAAGAAAAACUUAGUCGACGGAAAAGUAAUUUCCGUCGACUAAGUUCCGUCGAAUAAAAUCUUGGCAGACAACGCUUAGCCGACGGAUCUUAGCCGACGGAAUUAAUCUUUGCAGACGAAAUAUAUGUCUUAACCGACGGAACGGGUUCCGUCGGCUAAUAGCCAUAAUCCAGUGGUGAUUGUAGUCAAGGCGGUGAUCAGCUGAAGCGAAUUCGAGGCAUGAAGGUCGAAUGUAGCGAGUUGAAAUGACUUACUAUGAGCAUCAUGACGACCAAGGUUUCUACGGAUUUUCAUAGUAGUUACCGUGUUGGUCUUGUUUGUUGAUUUGAUUUGCGCCACCUUUGAUUCCAUGUGAUGAGAAUGACGCGAUCGUCGGAGAAAGUGGUGAGAGGCAGAGAUAGUCCCACUGGGCGCGUCAAUUUUGUAAACACGGAAAAUCUGCGACAAAUUACAGAAAGACACGUGUACAAAGAAUAGUAUAAUUUUAUUGAUAUGAAUGUGGGUUACAAAUCUUUGUGAACUCCUCUGAUUCUAUCUCCGAAUAUGAAUUUGACUCAAGGGUGACAAGCACUUGUUCUUGAGAUGUAAAGAGGUCACGAGAGUUGAUCACGCGACUAGUGUUUGAGAUUUGAGUUUGGUGAAGAACUGGCGGAAGCUUAAUAGUUCUUCGGGGGAUUUUGAGACUUCUGAGUUAUCGGGAGUGAUUUUUCUCUCUGUUGUCGAAAGUUCUCCUCUUGAUAUGAGAGGGGGUAUUUAUAGUGUCUAUGCUCCUCCGUAAAUGGAAUGUAUUGAAGUCACCACUUUAAUUGUAUUUCCUUAAUGAUAUAAUUAAAUCAAGAGUAAAUGACCAUUUACUACUAAUUUAACAUUCUUUUAGCCCAUUCCAAUGAAAAUCUAUUCAGCAACCCAAUUCCAAUGAAUUCUAACAAAAAGACGUCAAUACCCUCAUGCUAAUUUAACUCUCUUUCUCCUCUUUUUUCCCGAUCAUUAACUCUCUCUCUCAGAAAACUCUCCACCGCCAUUGAAGCAAUCUCACUAUACUCCGAGACCUUCUCGGCCGUCUCGGUACUCUCCAUCGCCAACUCUUCGUCGUCCUCCACCACCACCACCACCGGCUGCUUCAUCUUUGCGGAGGAGGAAGGAGCAGCCGCCUUAGAUUGCUUCGCCUUCGGCUUCGACUUCGUUGCCGCCUCAAUUUCAAUGCACGGCUGCAAACCGGCGUCUUCGUCCUCCACCACCGGCUGCUUUAGCUUUGCGGAGGAAGAAGAAGCGGCCGCCUUAGAUUGCUUUGCCUUCGGCUUCGACUUCGUUGCCGUCUCGAUUUCAGUGCACGGCUACAAACCGACGUCUUCUGGUUUUGGCGGCGGCUUCCGCUUCUUCGCGGCGGAAGAGGAAGCCGGAGGUAAACUUGAAAAUAUUGUUUUGCAAGUUUACUACCCCCAAUAAAAGUUUACUGGGGGUAGUAAACUUUAGUUUUUCGAAUCUAAAUUGUUCUUCCUCUGUUUUAGUAUGUAUUAUGGCCUUGAAAAUACUGUUUUGCAAGUUUACUAUCCCCAGUAGUAAACUUUAGUUUUUCGAAUCUAAAUUGUUCUUCCUCUGUUUUAGUAUGUAUUAUGGCCUUGAAAAUACUGUUUUACAAGUUUACUACCCCCAAUAAAAGUUUACUAGGGGCAGUAAAUUUUAUUUUUUGCAUCUAAGUUGAUUUUUCUCCAUUUUAAUGUGUACUUAUGACCUUGGAGAUAUUGUUUUGCAAGUUUACUACCCCCAGUAAAAGUUUACUGGGGGUAGUAAACUUUAGUUUAUCGAAUCUAAAUUGUUAUUCCUCUAUUUUAGUAUGUAUUAUGGCCUUGAAAAUAC